rnacentral:rRNA from 1 species
GACGAACGCUGGCGGCGAGCCUAAUACAUGCAAGUGGGACGCAAGGAAACACACUGUGCUUGCACACCGUGUUUUCUUGAGUCGCGAACGGGUGAGUAACGCGUAGGUAACCUGCCUAUUAGCGGGGGAUAACUAUUGGAAACGAUAGCUAAUACCGCAUAAUAUUAAUUAUUGCAUGAUAAUUGAUUGAAAGAUGCAAGCGCAUCACUAGUAGAUGGACCUGCGUUGUAUUAGCUAGUUGGUAAGGUAAGAGCUUACCAAGGCGACGAUACAUAGCCGACCUGGGAGGGUGGUCGGCCAAACUGGGACUGGGGCACGGCCCAGGAUCCUUCGGGAGGGAGCAGUAGGGAAACUUCGGCAAAGGACGAAAAGCUUACCGAGGAACGCCGCGUGAGUGAAGAAGGUUUUCGGAUCGUAAAGCUCUGUUGUAAGGCAAGGACGUGUGUGAGAGUGGAAAGUUCACACAGUGACGGUAGCUUACCAGAAAGGGACGGCUAACUACGUG